rnacentral:lncRNA from 1 species
CUGUGGCCGAGGGCAGCGCGGCAGGACGGCGGGGCCGUGCCGAGAGCGGCACCGGCCGGCUCCCGGCGCUGAGCGCUCGCCUCCUCCGUGAGCGCCUAAAAUGUUCCUGGCAUGCGAGGCCAGGGGAGAUGCAGUGAGGAGCGGGGCACUUUUCCAACAGCUCCUCCGCCGAGAGAGCCAGUGGCACGGCGCGGCUCCGCGGCCCGCCGCUCUCCUCGGCUUCCUCCAGCAGCCCGACCGCCAUGCAGCGAGGCAGGGUGCGGGCGGCGCUGGCGGCGCUGCUGUGCGCGGCGCUGCUCCCGCUCCGCCCGGAGGCCGUCAAGGCGCCCAAGCGACCGGCGCGGACCCGGACCUGCGGCGAGCGGCCCGAGGAGCUGCUGGAGCAGCUCUACGGGCGGCUGGCGGCGGGCAUGCUCAGCGCCUUCCACCACACCCUGCAGCCCGAGCCGCCGGGCCGACAGCACAACGCCAGCUGCCCGGCCGGGGGGCGGCCGGCCGCCGACAAGAGGUUCCGGCUCCCCGUCAACCUGCGCAGCGCCUCGCCGUGGGCCUACAGAAAGAGAAGUGAGCAGCGGAUGAGGUGGAGCAAGCUGUGAGAUGGAGCUCCCGCGCACCCGGGAGCGCAGACCACCCCUCAGAAAGUCGCUUCGGCAAGUUGUCGCGCGCGAAGUUCACUCAGAGGACCCUCGGCAAAGGACCGUCGCCGCGAAAGCCCCUCCUGACUCUGUGGCAGCCCCCGAGGGGCUCAGAUGCUUUCCCUGAGGUGUGACCCCAGGCACGGUGCUGGUCUCUGAACUACAUCGGAGUUCCGCGCGUGUUCUUGUUUCGUACCGGCAGGGCCGUACCUUCGCUUUCCCCGCUGCAAACCCUCCCAAGGGCUUGCCGUCCAGUUUGGUGUAGGAGCGUAGGCAAGGAAUGAGCACUGCAACUUUCUACGUCGGUGUUUUCAACCCACGCUUUGCAAACCCCCUCCCUCUGCUGAGGUGGAACAGGGGCUGCCAGGCUAUUUUUAAGGGGGCAUAAAAAUAACCUGUUGUUAGGCUGGUUAAUACCCAAAACGGGGGUCUGCACUUCCGUAGAGAGCUCUGGAAAAGCUUGGAAACCGCUGAUCUAGAACACUAAGCCCAGCGUGUGAUCACAUUCUCACUAUCAAGGCUUCUGGUAGUUUUGUCUGAAUGAGACUUGAUGGAAUUGGGGUCUCUGUUUUCAGCUUUCUGUAAAGACACUGUAGAGAACGGGAGGCUAAAACAUGCACAAACUUAAAAGGAGCGGACUUGCUUGCUACUUUCUGUACGUUAUCCUUCCUAUAUACCUUGAUGCAGUUACUGUGUAUUCAGCAAACUUAAAUAUCUCCUUGUUAGUGAUCUCCAAUAAACAUUUAUUUUG